rnacentral:rRNA from 1 species
AUACGUAGGGUGCGAGCGUUAAUCGGAAUUACUGGGCGUAAAGCGUGCGCAGGCGGUUUUGUAAGACAGUGGUGAAAUCCCCGGGCUCAACCUGGGAACUGCCAUUGUGGCUGGAAGGCUGGAGUGCGGCAGAGGGGGGUGGAAUUCCGCGUGUAGCAGGGAAAUGCGUAGAUAUGCGGAGGAACACCGAUGGCGAAGGCAAUCCCCUGGGCCUGCACUGACGCUCAUGCACGAAAGCGUGGGGAGCAAACAGGAUUAGAUACCCUGGUAGUCCACGCCCUAAACGAUGUCAACUGGUUGUUGGGAAUUUAUUUUCUCAGUAACGAAGCUAACGCGUGAAGUUGACCGCCUGGGGAGUACGGCCGCAAGGUUAAAACUCAAAUGAAUUGACGGGG